CCUACGGGUUGCACCAGUGGGGAAUAUUGCACAAUGGGCGCAAGCCUGAUGCAGCCAUGCCGCGUGUAUGAAGAAGGCCUUCGGGUUGUAAAGUACUUUCAGCGGGGAGGAAGGCGAUAAGGUUAAUAACCGCAGCAAUUGGCGUUACCCGCAGAAGAAGCACCGGCUAACUCCGCGCCAGCAGCCGCGGUAUACGGAGGGUGCAAGCGUUAAUCGGAAUUACUGGGCGUAAAGCGCACGCAGGCGGUCUGUCAAGUCGGAUGUGAAAUCCCCGGGCUCAACCUGGGAACUGCAUUCGAAACUGGCAGGCUAGAGUCUUGUAGAGGGGGGUAGAAUUCCAGGUGUAGCGGUGAAAUGCGUAGAGAUCUGGAGGAAUACCGGUGGUGAAGGCGGCCCCCUGGACAAAGACUGACGCUCAGAUGCGAAAGCGUGGGGAGCAAACAGGAUUAGAUACCCGGGUAGUC
rnacentral:rRNA from 1 species